UUGGAGAAAUUUGAUCCUGGCUCAGAACGAACGCUGGCGGCAGGCUUAACACAUGCAAGUCGAGCGCCCCGCAAGGGGAGCGGCAGACGGGUGAGUAACGCGUGGGAACGUACCAUUUGCUACGGAAUAACUCAGGGAAACUUGUGCUAAUACCGUAUGUGCCCUUCGGGGGAAAGAUUUAUCGGCAAAUGAUCGGCCCGCGUUGGAUUAGCUAGUUGGUGGGGUAAAGGCUCACCAAGGCGACGAUCCAUAGCUGGUCUGAGAGGAUGAUCAGCCACACUGGGACUGAGACACGGCCCAGACUCCUACGGGAGGCAGCAGUGGGGAAUAUUGGACAAUGGGCGCAAGCCUGAUCCAGCCAUGCCGCGUGAGUGAUGAAGGCCCUAGGGUUGUAAAGCUCUUUCACCGGUGAAGAUAAUGACGGUAACCGGAGAAGAAGCCGGSUACUCU
rnacentral:rRNA from 1 species